rnacentral:rRNA from 1 species
UAGGGAAUCUUCGGCAAUGGGGGGAACCCUGACCGAGCAACGCCGCGUGAGUGAAGAAGGUUUUCGGAUCGUAAAGCUCUGUUGUUAAGGAAGAACGAGUGUGAGAAUGGAAAGUUCAUGCUGUGACGGUACUUAACCAGAAAGGGACGGCUAACUACGUGCCAGCAGCCGCGGUAAUACGUAGGUCCCGAGCGUUGUCCGGAUUUAUUUGGCGUAAAGCGAGCGCAGGCGGUUAGAAAAGUCUGAAGUGAAAGGCAGUGGCUCAACCAUUGUAGGCUUUGGAAACUGUUUAACUUGAGUGCAGAAGGGGAGAGUGGAAUUCCAUGUGUAGCGGUGAAAUGCGUAGAUAUAUGGAGGAACACCGGUGGCGAAAGCGGCUCUCUGGUCUGUCACUGACGCUGAGGCCCGAAAGCGUGGGUAGCAAACAGG